AUUGAACGCUGGCGGCAGGCCUAACACAUGCAAGUCGAGCGGGGUUUUCGGACCUAGCGGCGGACGGGUGAGUAAUGCGUAGGAAGCUGCCCGAUAGAGGGGGAUACCAGUUGGAAACGACUGUUAAUACCGCAUAAUAUCUACGGACCAAAGUGUGGGACCUCCGGGCCACAUGCUAUCGGAUGCGCCUACGUGGGAUUAGCUAGUUGGUGAGGUAAUGGCUCACCAAGGCGACGAUCUCUAGCUGGUUUGAGAGGAUGAUCAGCCACACUGGAACUGAGACACGGUCCAGACUCCUACGGGAGGCAGCGGUGGGGAAUAUUGGACAAUGGGCGCAAGCCUGAUCCAGCCAUGCCGCGUGUGUGAAGAAGGCCUUCGGGUUGUAAAGCACUUUCAGCGAGGAGGAAGGGUGGUGUGUUAAUAGCACAUCAUUUUGACGUUACUCGCAGAAGAAGCACCGGCUAACUCUGUGCCAGCCGCCGCCGUAAUAC
rnacentral:rRNA from 1 species